rnacentral:ncRNA from 1 species
UUAUUUGAGAGUUUGAUCCUGGCUCAGGAUGAACGCUGGCGGCGUGCUUAACACAUGCAAGUCGAGCGAAGCAUUAAAACAGAUUUCUUCGGAAUGAAGUUUUAAUGACUGAGCGGCGGACGGGUGAGUAACGCGUGGGUGACCUGCCUCAUAC